GGUAGGCAGGCAUCAUCUCUGUGUACUCCUCAAUGGAAGCCACUGAGGACUGGGACGGGGUCUUCUGGAAAUUAAAAUUUUAAGGGCUAAUUCCCCUUCAUUCAAGAAAUAUUUACUGUGAUGAAGACAUGUUCCAUGCAGAGGAAAUGGCCAAUGCAAAGAGCCCCUGACUGGAGGGCAUUUGGCACAUUCUAGGAGAGUGAGGAGGAUUCUAUGGGCCAGGAAUUCAGACAGGGCACAGUGUUGAUGGCUUGUCUGUGUCCUGGCUGGGAUGGCUCAAAUGGUUGUGGGACUAUUUGACUUGAAAGGCUGGAGCCUGGAAUCAUUUGAAACAUUGUUCACUCAUGUGUCUGGCACCUGCGUUAGAAUGACUGAAGGCUACAUCAACUAGAGUACUUACAUCCGGUCUCUCCAUGUGACUUGGACUUUUCACAGCGUGGAGGCUGGAUUUCAAAGGCAGGAAGACACCAUAUCAGGAAAAAGAGAGUGAACAACUGAGUCAAUUGCUGCUGAUGGUCAAGUCAGAAGAAGACUUGGAAUUAACAUAAGAUCUAGCAUCAUGUUUGUGUUAUGUAUAAGAUAUUAACAUUGAUUGCAGAUGCCCACAAUGUUUAUGAUCUGACUGAAUUCUUUAGUGGAAUCACAAAAGUUCAACAUACUCAGAUGUGUACAGUAGGUUAGUAGAGUUUGUAGGGAUAAUUAUGGCAACAUAUUUUAUAUUUCCUAAAUAACUUUAACUUGAAAAAUUCCUAUGAGGACAGAGAUACUAAAGUACAGUGGAUGCUAUGUUUAGUCUCACUAUGCAAUUUAGUCUUGUCUCUAAGAUUAGACUUCUAAACAUUCUUAAGAUUUUGAGAAAGAGAGGGAGAGAGAGAGACACUCAUAUUAAUAGGAAAAAUUGCCAAGAUAUGUCCUAAUUUUUAAACCAAAUAUUUUAAAAUAUUUUAGACA
rnacentral:lncRNA from 10 species